rnacentral:rRNA from 1 species
GUGCCAGCCGCCGCGGUAAUACCGGCAGCCCAAGUGAUGGCCGAUAUUAUUGGGCCUAAAGCGUCUGUAGCCGGCCGGACAAGUCCGUUGGGAAAUCCGCAUGCUUAACGUGCGGGCGUCCAGCGGAAACUGUCCGGCUUGGGACCGGAAGACCCGAGGGGUACGUCCGGGGUAGGAGUGAAAUCCUGUAAUCCCGGACGGACCACCUGUGGCGAAAGCGCCUCGGGAAGACGGAUCCGACGGUGAGGGACGAAAGCCAGGGUCUCGAACCGGAUUAGAUACCCUGGUAGUCC